GGCCUCGUGGCGCAAUGGUAGCGCGUAGCUUUCCGGUUGAUCUUUCCAGUCCUAGCUGAGGUUUCAGGUUCGAGUCCUGACGGGGUCG